CGCGGCACGCCAUGCAGAGAGAGCGCUGGGACACCGCUGUGGCAGAGCGCAGGAUGCCGCCGUGGCAGAGCGUGGGACGCCUGCAGAGCUGCCUCUGCCCGUGACCUUGAGCCCAGGGCGGGCGGGGUUGUUGGAAGGAGGCUGCAGGCCUGCUGCAGGUGACCUUGGAGUCCGCUGGCCUUUCCCUUUCUUGGCUCUACUGACCAGCAUCGGCUGUGCUCUGGGAAGGUCUCCCCGGCCUCUGAGGACACAGUCUCGCUGGACACAGUCUCGCUGGGGCCAGUUUCUGGAGCUUGUGACAGUGGCCCGUGAUCAGAUGGCAAGGACUGGCCUUUAGUCCUCAGUGGUGGUCACCAGAGCGUUCUUCAGGGCCUGAGGCUCAGCUCCUGCCACCAUGUCGGGAUCCACGCAGCCCGUGGCACAGACAUGGAGGGCCACCGAGGCCCGCUACCCGCCCCAUGGCAUCUCCUACCCGGUGCAGAUCGCCCGGCCCCACACGGUAAGGGGUGGCGCCCUUUGGGUCUCUUGCUCCUACUCCUUUCCUCCCCUG
rnacentral:lncRNA from 1 species